AUUGAACGCUGGCGGCAGGCCUAACACAUGCAAGUCGAACGAGUGGUGGACGGGUGAGUAAUGUCUGGGAAACUGCCUGAUGGAGGGGGAUACCUACUGGAAACGGUAGCUAAUACCGCAUACCAUCAGAUGUGCCCAGAUGGGAUUCGCUAGUUGGUGGGGUAACGGCUCACCAAGGCGACGAUCCCUAGCUGGUCUGAGAGGAUGACCAGCCACACUGGAACUGAGACACGGUCCAGACUCCUACGGGAGGCAGCAGUGGGGAAUAUUGCACAAUGGGCGCAAGCCUGAUGCAGCAAUGCCGCGUGUAUGAAGAAGGCCUUCGGAUUGUAAAGUACUUUCAGCGGGGAGGCGUUACCCGCAGAAGAAGCACCGGCUAACUCCGUGCCAGCAGCCGCGGUAAUUC
rnacentral:rRNA from 1 species